UACGGAGGGUGCAAGCGUUAUCCGGAUUCACUGGGUUUAAAGGGUGUGUAGGCGGGUAUUUAAGUCAGUGGUGAAAUCUCCGAGCUUAACUUGGAAACUGCCAUUGAUACUAUUUAUCUUGAAUUCUGUUGAGGUGGGCGGAAUAUGUCAUGUAGCGGUGAAAUGCAUAGAUAUGACAUAGAACACCGAUUGCGAAGGCAGCUCACUAAGCAGACAUUGACGCUGAGGCACGAAAGCGUGGGGAUCAAACAGG
rnacentral:rRNA from 1 species